rfam:Cryptococcus dejecticola CBS 10117 unplaced genomic scaffold supercont1.5, whole genome shotgun sequence.
GGGUUUGUGUUGCAGUGGUAGCAUUCUAGACUUCGAGGUCGGAACUUGACUGGAGUUUAUCUAGCGGUCGCGGGUUCAAAUCCCGUCGGACCUU